rfam:Schistosoma mansoni strain Puerto Rico chromosome W, complete genome
CCACUGCUGAGGAGUCCCACAACAGGACGAAACGGCCGUCCAGUGC